AUGAACGCUGGCGGCGUGGAUAAGGCAUGCAAGUCAAGGGGGCCCGCAAGGGCAACCGGCAAACGGGGUAGUAACAGGUGGGUACGUACCCAGAAGUCAGGAAUAACUUAUCGAAAGAUGGGCUAAUACCUGAUAGUCUCUAAGGAGUAAAGCUCCGGCGCUUCUGGAACGGCCUGCUGCAUAUCAGCUUGUUGGUGAGGUAAUGGCUCACCAAGGCUAUGACGUGUAGGGGAGCUGAGAGGCUGACCCCCACCACUGGGACUGCGACACUGCCCAGACACCUACGGGUGGCUGCAGUCGAGAAUCUUCCGCAAUGCACGAAAGUGUGACGGAGCGACGCCGCGUGGUUGAUGACACUCUUCGGAGCGUAAAGACCUUUUAUCGGGGAAGAAGUUUUGACGGUACCCGAUGAAUAAGAGGCUGCUAACCUCGU
rnacentral:rRNA from 1 species